AAAGCAGCUAGCUCAGGAAGGAGAGGUCACGCUUGUCCCAAGCGCCCGGAGAGAGGGCAGCCACCUGCCGCCCUGGGGACCUGGAGCAGUGGCCCGGGAGGUUGUGUGCAAGUGACAUUGAGGAGAAACCAUGCAAUUAUCCAGCUGUAUUUACACCAUUAAGGGAGUUCUUUCUGGAUCACAGGGAGGUGGGUGGACAAGCACACAGAGCUCACUGCUGAACUACAGCAAUUGGGUGGAUCAGAAACAGAAUUGGAGCUAUUUUAUCUGGACCUAAUUAAACAACCUUCAUUACUGGCAGGUAUGUGUUUGUGAUGACUAGAAAUUAGCUUGAUUGGAAUUAAAACUCAAAAUAUAAGACAUUGAAUUGACUUGUUUUUAAAAAUACACA
rnacentral:lncRNA from 1 species